GCGGAGGGAUCAUUACCGAGUUUACAACUCCCAAACCCCUGUGAACAUACCACUUGUUGCCUCGGCGGAUCAGCCCGCUCCCGGUAAAACGGGACGGCCCGCCAGAGGACCCCUAAACUCUGUUUCUAUAUGUAACUUCUGAGUAAAACCAUAAAUAAAUCAAAACUUUCAACAACGGAUCUCUUGGUUCUGGCAUCGAUGAAGAACGCAGCAAAAUGCGAUAAGUAAUGUGAAUUGCAGAAUUCAGUGAAUCAUCGAAUCUUUGAACGCACAUUGCGCCCGCCAGUAUUCUGGCGGGCAUGCCUGUUCGAGCGUCAUUUCAACCCUCAAGCACAGCUUGGUGUUGGGACUCGCGUUAAUUCGCGUUCCUCAAAUUGAUUGGCGGUCACGUCGAGCUUCCAUAGCGUAGUAGUAAAACCCUCGUUACUGGUAAUCGUCGCGGCCACGCCGUUAAACCCCAACUUCUGAAUGUUGACCUCGGAUCAGGUAGGAAUACCCGCUGAACUUAAGCAUAUCAAUAAGCGGAGGAA
rnacentral:rRNA from 1 species